GAUGAACACUAGCUACAGGCUUAACACAUGCAAGUCGAGGGGAAACGACAUCGAAAGCUUGCUUUUGAUGGGCGUCGACCGGCGCACGGGGGAGUAACGCGUAUCCAACCUGCCCAUCACUUGGGAAUAACCUUGCGAAAGUAAGACUAAUACCCAAUGAUAUCCCACGAAGGCAUCGGAAUGGGAUUAAAGAUUUAUCGGUGAUGGAUGGGGAUGCGUCUGAUUAGCUUGUUGGCGGGGUAACGGCCCACCAAGGCAACGAUCAGUAGGGGUUCUGAGAGGAAGGUCCCCCACAUUGGAACUGAGACACGGUCCAAACUCCUACGGGAGGCAGCAGUGAGGAAUAUUGGUCAAUGGGCGAGAGCCUGAACCAGCCAAGUAGCGUGCAGGAAGACGGCCCUAUGGGUUGUAAACUGCUUUUAUAAGGGAAUAAAGUGGGUCACGUGUGACUUUUUGCAUGUACCUUAUGAAUAAGGACCGGCUAAUUCCGUG
rnacentral:rRNA from 1 species